rnacentral:rRNA from 1 species
AAACUAACAAGGAUUCCCCUAGUAACGGCGAGUGAAGUGGGAAAAGCUCAACUUUGUAAUCUGUCAGCUUCGCUGUCCGAGUUGUAGUCUCGAGAAGUGUUUUCCGCGCUGGAUCGUGUAUGAGUCUGUUGGAAUACAGCGUCAUAGAGGGUGAGAACCCCGUUCGUGACACGACUACCAGUGCUUUGUGAUACGCUUUCGAUGAGUCGAGUUGUUUGGGAAAUGCAGCUCAAAUUGGGGUGGUAAAUUCCAUCUAAAGCUAAAUAUUGGCGAGAGACCCGAUUAGCAAACAAGUUACCCGUGAGGGAAAGAUGAAAAGCACUUUUGGAAAGAGAGUUAACAGUACCGUGAAA